rnacentral:lncRNA from 1 species
GCCCGCGCCCCAUUGGCCGCCGCCCCUCCGCUCGGCGCGGCCCGCCCGCCCCCGCCCCCCGCCUCGCCCACCAUUGGUCCGCGCGCCCUCGCGACAGCCGGCCCCUCCCCGGAGGGACCGCCCAUCGGCGGGCCGGGGGGCGGGGCUCGGCGUGACGUCCCGCGAGCGGCGGCUCCGAUUGGCGAAGCCCGUCGGCUUCUCCCCCGCCGUCCCGCCCCGCGGCGAGCGGGACUCGUGCAAAAGGUGCGCUUCUUCACACGGCCCGGCCGGCGCGCGCUUGGGGGCGGGGCUCCCCCUGCGGGUCGGGCGGCUUCGCGCGGGGCUUGGGGGGGCUUCGUGACGUCACGCGCGGCCGUUGGGGCCGGGAGCGGCUGUGUGAGAGCGGAGGGCCUGCGCUGCGGUGUUAGGACGGGUGGUGAGGAAAUAAUCUACAGGUUUUUCUCUGCCUCUACAUUUGUUCUGUGGGGCCCAAGUGAUAGAUACACUGCCCUCAUGAAGAGCCUACUUCUGGGGCACCUCUUUUGUCAGCAACACAAGUGAAGCCAGGUGGCUUUGAACUCCGAUGUUUG